GACGAACGCUGGCGGCGUGCUUAACACAUGCAAGUCGAACGGAAAGGCCCUGCUUGCAGGGUACUCGAGUGGCGAACGGGUGAGUAACACGUGGGGGAUCUGCCCUGCACUUCGGGAUAAGCCUGGGAAACUGGGUCUAAUACCGGAUAGGAGCCAUUUUUAGUGUGAUGGUUGGAAAGUUUUUUCGGUGUAGGAUGAGCUCGCGGCCUAUCAGCUUGUUGGUGGGGUAAUGGCCUACCAAGGCGGCGACGGGUAGCCGGCCUGAGAGGGUGGACGGCCACAUUGGGACUGAGAUACGGCCCAGACUCCUACGGGAGGCAGCAGUGGGGAAUAUUGCACAAUGGGCGCAAGCCUGAUGCAGCGAUGCCGCGUGGGGGAUGACGGCCUUCGGGUUGUAAACUCCUUUCGCUAGGGACGAAGCUUUUUGUGACGGUACCUAGAUAAGAAGCACCGGCUAACUACGUG
rnacentral:rRNA from 1 species